CCGGGACGGACGGACCUCUGGUGUGCCAGUUGUUCUGCCAAGGGCAUGGCUGGUUGGCUACGUUCGGGAGGGAUAACCGCUGAAAGCAUCUAAGCGGGAAGCCUGCUUCGAGAUGAGAACUCCCACCCCCUUUGAGGGGUUAAGGCUCCCAGUAGACGACUGGGUUGAUAGGCCGGAAAUGGAAGCACUGCAAGGUGUGGAGUUGACCGGUACUAAUAGGCCGAGGGCUUGUCCUC
rnacentral:rRNA from 1 species